UACGUAGGGCGCAAGCGUUGUCCGGAAUUAUUGGGCGUAAAGAGCUCGUAGGCGGCCUGUUGCGUCCGCUGUGAAAUCCCGGGGCUCAACCCCGGGCCUGCAGUGGAUACGGGCUGGCUAGAGGCAGGCAGGGGAGAACGGAAUUCCUGGUGUAGCGGUGAAAUGCGCAGAUAUCGGGAGGAACACCUGUGGCGAAAGCGGCUCACUGGACCACAACUGACGCUGAGGCGCGAAAGCUAGGGGAGCAAACAGG
rnacentral:rRNA from 1 species